GGGGAUUUAGCUCAGUGGUAGAGUGCUUGCCUCGCAAGGCGAUGGGUUCAGUCCCCA
rnacentral:tRNA from 1 species